GGGAUCAUAGGAGUGCCGGGGUCUAUGGAGGAAGGUGGGGAUGACGUCAAAUCAUCAUGCCCCUUAUGUCUUGGGCUUCACGCCUGCUACAAUGGCCGGUACAAAGGGUUGCGAUACUGUGAGGUGGAGCUAAUCCCAAAAAGCCGGUCUCAGUUCGGAUUGAGGUCUGCAACUCGACCUCAUGAAGUCGGACUCGCUAGUAAUCGCAGAUCAGCAACGCUGCGGUGAAUACGUUCCCGGGCCUUGUACACACCGCCCGUCAAGUCACGAAAGUUGGUAACACCCGAAGCCGGUGGCCUAACCCCUUGUGGGAGGGAGCCGUCGAAGGUGGGACUGGCGAU
rnacentral:rRNA from 1 species